rnacentral:rRNA from 1 species
UACGUAGGGUGCGAGCGUUGUCCGGAAUUACUGGGCGUAAAGAGCUCGUAGGUGGUUUGUCGCGUUGUUCGUGAAAACUCACAGCUUAACUGUGGGCGUGCGGGCGAUACGGGCAGACUGGAGUACUGCAGGGGAGACUGGAAUUCCUGGUGUAGCGGUGGAAUGCGCAGAUAUCAGGAGGAACACCGGUGGCGAAGGCGCUCAUCUGGCCCAAUACUGACGCUGAUGCGCGAAAGCUAGGGGAGCAAACGGG